AUUGAACGCUGGCGGAAUGCUUUACACAUGCAAGUCGAACGGCAGCACGGACUUCGGUCUGGUGGCGAGUGGCGAACGGGUGAGUAAUGUAUCGGAACGUGCCCAGUCGUGGGGGAUAACGUAGUGAAAAUUACGCUAAUACCGCAUACGAUCUAUGGAUGAAAGCGGGGGAUCGCAAGACCUCGCGCGAUUGGAGCGGCCGAUAUCAGAUUAGGUAGUUGGUGGGGUAAAGGCCCACAAAGCCAACGAUCUGUAGCUGGUCUGAGAGGACGACCAGCCACACUGGAACUGAGACACGGUCCAGACUCCUACGGGAGGCAGCAGUGUGGAAUUUUGGACAAUGGGCGAAAGCCUGAUCCAGCCAUUCCGCGUGCAGGAUGAAGGCCCUCGGGUUGUAAACUGCUUUUGUACAGAACGAAAAGGUUUCUACUAAUACUAGGAGCUCAUGACGGUACUGUAAGAAUAAGCACCGGCUAACUACGUGCCAGCAGCCGCCGUAA
rnacentral:rRNA from 1 species